UACGUAGGGGGCUAGCGUUGUCCGGAAUCAUUGGGCGUAAAGAGCGUGUAGGCGGCCCGGUAAGUCCGCUGUGAAAGUCGGGGGCUCAACCCUCGAAUGCCGGUGGAUACUGUCGGGCUAGAGUGCGGAAGAGGCGAGUGGAAUUCCUGGUGUAGCGGUGAAAUGCGCAGAUAUCGGGAGGAACACCAGUGGCGAAGGCGACUACCUGGCCUGUUUCUUGACGCUGAGGCGCGAAAGCUAGGGGAGCAAACGGG
rnacentral:rRNA from 1 species